CGGCCCUCGAGGGACAAGCCGAGCCGCGUGGCGCCCCGUGGCGUCUGGAUCAAUGCCGGCCUCGCACCACCUGUACCGAGUGUCUCUCUCUCUCUCUCUCUUAUCAAGCGACACCACAGAGCUCUGCGUCUUGCGUCUUCCUCCGUGUUUCACCGCCGCCCGGCCGUCGGGUUUAUCCGGCUGCACAUCUGUGCUCUGCGUGAAAUGUUUCAGCCUCGUUCUUGUAGAGUGUACCGCCGGCCACUAGAGGGCAGCGUCUAAUUACCUGACCGGAUAUGUCACGCUGCCUUCCGUUAAUGUCAGCGUCCAUUUGAGUCUCGUCAUUCAUUCAUUCCACCUCGAGGCGAGAUGUUCAUCCACUCAUUCAUGGUGUCUUCAUCUCUGUCAUUAAACCCUUAAACUGA